UUGAAAACCAUCUAGCACAGCGCGUGGCACACGGAAAGUGUCCAACUGACAUUAGGUGCCAUGACUCAGAAAACGUGGGGGUAGGGGCGGGCCAGGCCGGGGCCGGGGGAAGCCGGGCGCGCACAGGGGCCCAGCCCGCGGGAGCCGAACAGGAGCCGGGAGUCUGCUCCCGGCCUUGGCACCGCGGUGGACUUGCUCUGUGUUCGCCUUGCCAAGGCCGGAGCAGCUGGCUCCGGCCUGCCGAUGACGCAGCCCGCCCGCCGUGCCCGCCGCCCGCUGGCUGGGCCGCCCUUGCCCACCGGGAGCCAGGCCGGCAGCCCACAAGGUGGGCGCCCUGUGCGCCUGGGGGGCGGAGGGGGGACCUCGGCCCCGAUCCGGAGAUGCCCCCCCAGCUCCGCGCAGGCAGCGCUCUCUGGCUCGCGGCCAGCGGGCACCACCUUCGCCAGAGCAAGCGGGUGUCUCUCCACCCCUCCCGCCGGAGCUGAGCGUGGAAGCGAUUGCACUUAGCAGCCUCGCAGCAGGCAUCGGGGUGUCGAACCUCUGUAGGGUCCCUCCUCUGCCUUUGAGAUGCGCCAGGCAUUGCCCCAGGAAGCCGAAGUCCAGGGAAGCGAUCUUCCUCCAGAGCAUCUUAAAAAUGGUACUGACAAUGGGUACGGGAUGAUGAGAAAUCUCUGGAAAAAGACGGGUCGGCACAACAGCGUGAACGUACUUAAUACCGCCAGACUACACCCUGUAUUUAAAAAGACGUAUAUGUUUUUUGUUACUGUUUACUUAUCUUUGAGAGAAAGAGACAGAGCACGAACAGAGGAAGGGCAGAGAGAGAGGGAGACGCAGAAUCCGAAGCAGGCUUCAGGCUCUGAGCUGUCGGCACAGAGCCCAGCAUGGGGCUCGAACCCACAAACCUGAGCCGAAGUCGGAUGCUUCACCGACGGAGCCACCCAGGCGCCCCUAGACUAUACCCUUUAAGCGGCUACAGUGGUAACUUUUACAUCGUGUUUAUUUUAUACACAAAGAAAAAAAGACACUAAAAAAAAUGGUGCUGGUCCCAUGUGGCAUUAUCAAGUCCAAGAGCCUGAAGAAUUUAUACUUUGCGAUGACGGUAGGACUGCACACGUUUUUCUGCGUUUCUCCGAGACAGAGAGAGAGAACAGGUGGCAACAGCUCUGAUUCCUGCCUGGUCAACAAACCAACUUCUCCUUCGUACGGGGACGCGGAAAACCAUCAAAAUCAACCCGGUAACGCCACCCACGGAAAUGUUUCACAAGCGUGCUUCUGGGACAGACAGGACACGGUUUGAAAAUUUUUAGCUUCCUCUGCAAUCAAAAUAGAGCGAGGAGAAGCGGUCACUGUAUGAAUGGGGCCCUGCGGCCAGGGGACCCAGACUUCUGCAGGGGAAGGGAAGGCGGGCUGGGCCCGAGGGGCCGCCCCCAGGACAGAUGGAGACCAGUGAGACAGAAAAUAAAUAAACAGAAGCUUCCCA